rnacentral:RNase_P_RNA from 1 species
CGGGUUUUUAAAUCCGAGGAAAGUCCGGGCUCCACUGCAAUAGGAUGCCGGUUAAUGGCCGGCGGGGGCGACCCCAGGGAAAGUGCCACAGAGAGAAGACUACUUGUGCAAUUUUCAUUUAUGAAAAAUGCACGAGAAAAGCUGAAAGGGUGCGGUAAGAGCGCACCGUGGGCGUGGCAACACGCUUUGCAAGGUAAACCCCAUCCGGAGCAAAACCAAAUAGGAACGGAUAUACCGUGUUGCAGCGGCCGUUCGGGUUGGUUGCACGAGGCGUUCAGUAAUGAACGUCCUAGA